UACGUAGGGGGCGAGCAUUGUCCGGAUUUAUUGGGCGUAAAGAGCUCGUAGGCGGUUUGGCAAGUCGGGUGUGAAAACUCCGGGCUCAACUCGGAGACGCCACUCGAUACUGCUAUGACUCGAGUCCGGUAGGGGAGUGCGGAAUUCCUGGUGUAGCGGUGAAAUGCGCAGAUAUCAGGAGGAACACCGGUGGCGAAGGCGGUUCUCUGGGCAUGUCCUGACGCUGAAGAGCGAAAGUGUGGGGAGCGAACAGG
rnacentral:rRNA from 1 species